GUGGCUGUAGCUCAAUGGCAGAGCGCUUCCCUGUGGAGGAAGAUGUUGAGGGUUCGAAACCCUUCAGCCACC
rnacentral:tRNA from 1 species